CCCCCACCCUUGACUCUCAGCCCAUGUCCAGUCAGGUGAGGUGCCCAGAGUACCUCCCGAGCAGCACCACCGCCUUGCUGACAGUGACUGUGUGUCCCCCUAGCAACCCUCGAUGAUGUUGUGGAGGCCGGCGGGAGUGAGAAGACGGAGGAAGAGGCCCUGGCUGGGGCAAAUGAGGAGGAGGUGGGGCCGGGAACUGAGAAGGUGCAGGAGGAGGCUGCCUGCAUUGACGAGGCAGAGGAGGAGGCAGGCCCAUCCCUUGAAAAUGACGAGGAGUCCCCAGCCAGCGACCUGGUUGAGCAGGAAGACCAGCUUGCCCCCAAGGUGGACGGGAUGGACGAUGAAAGCCUAUGUUUCAUGGAGAGUCUGAGUGACAGCAACCAUGAUGAAAGUGAUACAGACUCCUCUGGGACACCUUGAAGCCUCAGCCUGGGACUGGAAGAGUCCAAAAGUUUCCAUCUUGACCAGGAUACAAGAUUGACCUCACUCUUCAUCUAUUACGAGCCAACUUUAGUAUAAGCUUAGUUCUUUAUUGUCUAGAUUUAGUAUUAAGUUCUGAUACAUGUUUACUACUUGGUAUAUAAGAUUUUGGUAGAAUGUAAGAUUGUGUAUUAAAUAAUUGUUACCUAUCCAUUUGCUUUUUUUAAAACUAGUUUUCGAUAAAAUAAACACAGGUAUAGGAAAGCCCCCUUAAGCA
rnacentral:lncRNA from 1 species